AAAAAUGCCUCACCCCCCUGUAUACAACAGGCACAACGAUAUCGGGCACACUUACACAACGACAUCGGGGCACGCUGACACAACGAUAUCGGGGCACGAUUGCUUAGUUAAUGCAAGUUUGACGAGUGUACCGUCCGACCAACCAGCCAGCAGCUGUGUCCGCGGUACCGCGUCAGCCAAUCAAAUGCUAUGGAGUCAGGUGAACAGAUUCCAACAGACGUCGCCGAGCUGUAAUUAUACCAGAUCGACUUGUAUUUGAGAGCGUGUAUUUGAUGCGAUCACACGCACUUUAUCAAAGAUGACUGAUCUACUACCAGCUCCGAUAACAGACCUCCUUUCAUGGCGUCUGACUGCUAUUGUUAUGGCUGUUCUCAUUAUCGUCACCUCCAUAUUCGGGGCAGUUGCUCUGUUCAAGGAGGAGAUGAUUGACGCCUUUGGUGUGGUUACAGAUGUAACCACUAUCAUUAUGGGCAAUGUGAUACAAAAACUUAAGAAGAUCGUGAUUCUCCUUCACUGCGUUGGAUUGUCUGUGAAACAGGCAGGAAAUAACUGAACGAGGACGCUACAGGCUAUGAAGGUACACGGGAGGGAGCCGAUGAUCAAUGGUUGCAGCAGUAACAGUGAUGGAUACAUGGGGAACAUGCAUAUAUUGAUAUGAUGCAUUACAUUUCUGCUGGACAUUUUGUGUGAAUGUGUGUUACUGUGUCUUCAGAUACUUAUAACCAUUCUUUGUGGUAUAUUUUGACUGAACUCACACAAUCACAUAAGAAAUAAAGCAUAUGGAAAUCUUCAAA